rnacentral:rRNA from 1 species
CCUACGGGAGGCAGCAGUGGGGAAUAUUGCACAAUGGGGGAAACCCUGAUGCAGCGACGCCGCGUGAGUGAAGAAGUACUUCGUUAUGCAAAGCUCUAUCAGCAGGGAAGAAAAUGACGGUACCUGAGUAAGAAGCCCCGGCUAACUACGUUCCGGCAGCCGCGGUACUACGUAGGGGGCAAGCGUUAUCCGGAUUUACUGGGUGUAAAGGGAGCGUAGACGGCAGUGCAAGUCUGGGGUGAAAGGCGGGGGCUCAACCCCCGGACUGCGCUGGAAACUGUACGGCUGGAGUGCAGGAGAGGUAAGAGGAAGUCCUAGUGUAGCGGUGAAAUGCGUAGAUAUUAGGAGGAACACCAGUGGCGAAGGCGGCUUACUGGACUGUAACUGACGUUGAGGCUCGAAAGCGUGGGGAGCAAACAGGAUUAGAUACCCUUGUC